GGGGCUAUAGCUCAGCUGGGAGAGCACCUGCUUUGCAAGCAGGGGGUCAGCGGUUCGAUCCCGCUUAGCUCCACCA
rnacentral:tRNA from 7 species